GUGGGGAAUAUUGCACAAUGGGCGGAAGCCUGAUGCAGCGACGCCGCGUGAGGGAUGACGGCCUUCGGGUUGUAAACCUCUUUCGACAGGGACGAAGCGUGAGUGACGGUACCUGGAGAAGAAGCGCCGGCCAACUACGUGCCAGCAGCCGCGGUAAGACGUAGGGCGCGAGCGUUGUCCGGAUUUAUUGGGCGUAAAGAGCUCGUAGGCGGCUCGUUGCGUCGGCUGUGAAAACCCGCAGCUCAACUGUGGGCUUGCAGCCGAUACGGGCGGGCUAGGAUUCGGUAGGGGAGACUGGAAUUCCUGGUGUAGCGGUGAAAUGCGCAGAUAUCAGGAGGAACACCGGUGGCGAAGGCGGGUCUCUGGGCCGAUAUCGACGCUGAGGAGCGAAAGCGUGGGGAGCGAACAGGAUUAGAAACCCGGGUAGUCC
rnacentral:rRNA from 1 species